GACAGAGGGCGCAAACGUUGUUCGGAAUUACUGGGCGUAAAGCGCGUGUAGGCUGCUCGGAAAGUCGGAUGUGAAAGCCCUGGGCUCAACCUAGGAAGUGCAUUCGAAACUUCCGAGCUGGAGUGCUGGAGAGGAAGGCGGAAUUCUCGGUGUAGAGGUGAAAUUCGUAGAUAUCGAGAGGAACACCGGUGGCGAAGGCGGCCUUCUGGACAGCCACUGACGCUGAGACGCGAAAGCGUGGGGAGCAAACAGG
rnacentral:rRNA from 1 species